AAUAGAUACCCGGGUAGUCCACGCCGUAAACGAUGAGUGCUAAGUGUUAGAGGGUUUCCGCCCUUUAAUGCUGCAGCUAACGCAUUAAGCACUCCGCCUGGGGAGUACGGUCGCAAGACUGAAACUCAAAGGAAUUGACGGGGGCCCGCACAAGCGGUGGAGCAUGUGGUUUAAUUCGAAGCAACGCGAAGGACCUUACCAGGUCUUGACAUCCCACUGACCGGUAUAGAGAUAUACCUUUCCCUUCGGGGACAGUGGUGACAGGUGGUGCAUGGUUGUCGUCAGCUCGUGUCGUGAGAUGUUGGGUUAAGUCCCGCAACGAGCGCAACCCUUGAUCUUAGUUGCCAGCAUUUAGUUGGGCACUCUAAGGUGACUGCCGGUGACAAACCGGAGGAAGGUGGGGAUGACGUCAAAUCAUCAUGCCCCUUAUGACCUGGGCUACACACGUGCUACAAUGGAUGGUACAAAGGGCUGCAAGACUGCGAAGUCAAGCCAAUCCCAUAAAACCAUUCUCAGUUCGGAUUGCAGG
rnacentral:rRNA from 1 species